GCGGAGGUGGCAGAGCCUGGUCAAAUGCGCAAGGUUGAGGGCCUUGUCCCUUAGUGGGUACGCGUGUUCGAAUCACGUCCUCCGCA
rnacentral:tRNA from 1 species